rfam:Coprococcus catus GD/7 draft genome.
ACAUCUUUUCAGGGCAGGGUGCAAGUCCCUACCGGCGGUAAAGCCCGCGAGCGAAGAAGAAUGGCAUGAUUAUUUUUCGGAUGCAUGAUCCGGUGAGAUUCCGGAGCCGACAGUAUAGUCUGGAUGAGAGAGAAGAAGA